AGCAUCAAGCUCCCUCUGACCCGCGACGCGACCCGACGACCCGAGAAAAAGACCCGGUAGGAACUCCUCCGUCCGACCAUAUCUCGCGGCGGACCACCGGCGUUCGCUUCGUCUCGACGACGCCGACGUGCCUCUGGCCACGGAUCAUCCAUGCACGGGCUGUGGAGAGGAUUCGAAGCUUGAAAGGUUUGAACUUUCCGGCGAUGCUUCUGCAAUUUCCGGCGACCUUCGGGGCUGUGUGAGGCUUCUAAUUUCGUUUCUGGCGUCUUGGAAAACCAGUUGAGGUGCGGGGAAGCUUGGUUCCUUGAAUUGGCGUUCGGGGAUGCUUUGGUCCUUGCUGCACUUCGGACUAGGAUGCGCUCUGCCCUCUGUUCGAAAUUCACCAAGCACAGUGGCUGCAAGUUUGCUUGCUCACGAUAUCUGUUAGCUCAGAUUAAGCUACUCUGAUUGUCAAAGGACUCCAGUUACCCGAGGAACGGAAGGUUCGUGAAUUUCGGACGACUUCGGAAUCCAGUGUGGAUGCAGGUACUGUGCACUGGUGACGGGAUUGACGGACGGAGCGGGUGUGCGGAGUCAACUUCGGUAAACGGUUGUAAUGGGAACAGGUUUCGAAGUUUAAUUCCAUUUCUUGAUUGUUUAGUGUUAUCUCAGAAGUAGUUGAUUGAUCAUUUAUUAUAAAUUCGAUUCUCGGAUAUGUCGAUUAUUUCUUGACUCCUUGUUGACUCAAGCUCUAGACGAACAAAUAUUUGAAAUAAAAGUUUUCAAGUUUUCACCUCAA